rnacentral:misc_RNA from 1 species
UACAGAGGGUGCAAGCGUUACUCGGAGUUACUGGGCGUAAAGGGCGCGUAGGCGGUUUUGUAAGUAAGGUGUGAAAUCCCUGGGCUUAACCUAGGAAUGGCAUUUUAGACUACAAGGCUAGAGGACAGUAGAGGGUGGUGGAAUUUCCGGUGUAGCGGUGAAAUGCGUAGAGAUCGGAAGGAACAUCAGUGGCGAAGGCGACCACCUGGACUGUAACUGACGCUGAGGCGCGAAAGCGUGGGGAUCAAACAGG